AUUGAACGCUGGCGGCAUGCUUUACACAUGCAAGUCGGACGAGUGGCGAACGGGUGAGUAACGCAUCGGAACGUACCGAGUAAUGGGGGAUAACUGUCCGAAAGGACAGCUAAUACCGCAUAUUAUUCGAGCGGCCGAUGUCUGAUUAGCUGGUUGGCGGGGUAAUGGCUCACCAAGGCUAUGACGCAUAACUGGUCUGAGAGGAUGAUCAGUCACACUGGAACUGAGACACGGUCCAGACUCCUACGGGAGGCAGCAGUGGGGAAUUUUGGACAAUGGGCGCAAGCCUGAUCCAGCCAUGCCGCGUGUCUGAAGAAGGCCUUCGGGUUGUAAAGGACUUUUGUCAGGGAAGCGGCACCUGAAGAAUAAGCACCGGCUAACUACGUGCCAGCCGCCGCGGUAAUAC
rnacentral:rRNA from 1 species